AGAUGUGAGAGCCAGCUGGCUGUGACAUCAGCUAUCAUAUUAGUCAGCAGUAUUGAUUUCCCUGAACUGGCUGCCUGAAUGGGCACACACACUGCUCUAAGUGCAUCUCUCCCAAAAUUGCCUGCUUGGGAAGGCUGAGAAGAAGACCUUUAAUGAAUAGAGACAAACUGUCUUAAGUCUAAAAUAUAUUAGUAACCAAGUUGCCCUGAAAAAAUCUCCAAAUAAUUUCUGAAGAUGCAAAUAUUCCCCCCCAUGAGGCUGUUGCAUAUAACCUCAAAGCAUAGAGCAUCUGCACACAUCAGUAGAUCU
rnacentral:sRNA from 1 species